AAGACGAUGACGUUGAUAGGUCGGGUGUGUAAGCGUAGCGAUACGUUGAGCUAACCGAUACUAAUGAACCGUGAGGCUUAACCUU
rnacentral:rRNA from 2 species